CUGCAAGCUCCGAUUACUCCUCGGCUCCUCCCCAAUUUUCCCACUACUACGCCGCCACUCUCACACGCGCCACCAUGCAAUCUACCUUCGUCUCGCCACGUGCCAACCCAACCAAAGUCGCAAACCCUUUCCAUGGCGUCAUUAGUCAGCCCCAUUUCUUGACACGGCCCUCGUCUCUCCGCGUUGUAGCACAAUCGCAGCCUGUUGUUGCCACAGACCCUUCACAGGCAUCUACCGUAGCUCACAAACUGAACAAGUACAGUUCUCGCAUCACUGAGCCCAAAUCCCAAGGCGGGUCACAAGCAAUCCUCCAUGGAGUUGGUCUAUCAGACGAAGACCUCAAUAAACCUCAGAUAGGUAUCUCCUCAGUCUGGUACGAAGGGAACACUUGCAAUAUGCACUUGCUGAGGCUAUCAGAGGCUGUUAAGGAAGGAGUGAAAGAGGCAGGGAUGGUUGGCUUCAGGUUUAACACAAUUGGGGUCAGCGAUGCUAUCUCUAUGGGAACUAGAGGGAUGUGUUAUAGCUUGCAAAGUAGAGAUUUGAUUGCGGAUAGUAUUGAGACUGUCAUGAGUGCUCAGUGGUAUGACGGGAAUAUCUCCAUCCCUGGUUGCGAUAAAAAUAUGCCAGGUACAAUUAUGGCAAUGGGGAGGCUCAAUCGACCUAGUAUUAUGGUUUAUGGUGGAACCAUAAAGCCCGGACAUUAUAAUGGUCAUUCUUAUGAUAUAAUAUCUGCCUUUCAGGCUUAUGGAGAAUAUGUAAAUGGUUCUAUAAGUGAUGAGGAUAGAAAAAAUGUAGUCCACAAUUCGUGCCCUGGUGCAGGGGCUUGUGGUGGAAUGUAUACAGCUAACACAAUGGCUUCUGCUAUUGAGGCCAUGGGAAUGUGUCUUCCUUACAGCUCUUCAAUACCUGCUGAAAACCCAUUGAAGUUGGAUGAGUGCCGUUUAGCUGGAAAGUAUCUUUUAGAAUUAUUGAAAAUGGACUUGAAACCACAAAAUAUUAUCACUCCUCAGUCACUACGUAAUGCAAUGGUUGUUGUCAUGGCAUUGGGUGGGUCUACCAAUGCUGUGUUACACUUAAUUCCAAUUGCCAGGUCUGUUGGACUGGAGUUAACACUUGAAGAUUUCCAGAAGGUUAGCGAUGAGGUUCCAUUCCUUGCAGAUCUAAAGCCUAGUGGUAAAUAUGUUAUGGAGGAUGUGCAUAAGAUUGGAGGAACACCUGCAGUCCUUCGCUAUCUUUUGGAACAUGGUUUUCUGGAUGGGGAUUGUUUGACUGUGACUGGGAAGACAUUGGCUGAAAAUGUGCAAAACUGCCCACCUUUGUCUGAGGGACAGGACAUAAUAAGGCCAUUGGAGAACCCCAUCAAGAAAACAGGUCACAUCCAAAUAUUACAAGGGAACCUUGCACCAGAGGGUUCUGUAGCAAAAAUCACUGGAAAAGAAGGACUCUAUUUCUCUGGUCCUGCACUUGUCUUUGAAGGAGAGGAAGCUAUGCUUGCAGCUAUCUCGGAAAAUCCUAUGAAUUUUAAGGGGAAAGUAGUAGUUAUAAGAGGUGAGGGGCCUAAGGGAGGACCAGGCAUGCCUGAAAUGCUAACUCCAACAAGUGCAAUCAUGGGAGCUGGUCUCGGGAAGGAUUGUGCAUUGUUGACUGAUGGUAGGUUUUCAGGAGGUUCUCAUGGAUUUGUUGUUGGUCAUAUAUGCCCCGAAGCACAGGAAGGUGGUCCAAUUGGUCUUGUUAGAAAUGGCGACAUCAUCAGAAUUGAUGUCCGAGAGAGGAGAAUAGAUGUUGAUGUAACAGACCAGGAAAUGGAAGAACGAAGAAAGAAUUGGACUCCCCCUCCAUAUAAGGCUACAUGUGGAGUUUUGUACAAGUACAUCAAGAACGUACAAUCAGCUUCCAGGGGAUGUGUGACUGAUGAGUAGUGGAGAGGACAAUGUUUAGGACUGUAGAGUGCGAUGGAAGCACAAAUCUUUGCUUGCCAGACUGCUGUAUCGGGCAACUUAUUCUGGCUCUUACUAGGAUUUUCAUUUGGCCCUUCAACU
rnacentral:misc_RNA from 1 species